GAGGGUAUAGCUCAAGUGAUAGAGCGCAAGCUUGGCAAGCAUGAGGUCCUGGGAUCAAUCCCCAGUACUUCUCU
rnacentral:tRNA from 1 species